UACGGAGGAUCCAAGCGUUAUCCGGAUUUAUUGGGUUUAAAGGGUGCGUAGGUGGCCCUAUAAGUCAGUGGUGAAAGCCUGCAGCUUAACUGUAGGAUUGCCAUUGAUACUGUAGGGCUUGAGUACUGAUGAGGUAGGCGGAAUUGAUAGUGUAGCGGUGAAAUGCAUAGAUAUUAUCAAGAACACCGAUUGCGAAGGCAGCUUACUAAGGAGUUACUGACACUGAGGCACGAAAGCGUGGGGAUCAAACAGG
rnacentral:rRNA from 1 species